rnacentral:rRNA from 1 species
CAGUCGAACGAAGCACCUGAUUUGAUUUUCUUCGGAGAUGAAGAUCUUGUCACUGAGUGGCGGACGGGUGAGUAACGCGUGGGCAACCUGCCUUGUACAGGGGGAUAACAGUUAGAAAUGACUGCUAAUACCGCAUAAGACCACAGCACCACAUGGUGCAGGGGUAAAAACUGAGGUGGUACAAGAUGGGCCCGCGUCUGAUUAGCUGGUUGGUGAGGUAACGGCUCACCAAGGCGACGAUCAGUAGCCGACCUGAGAGGGUGACCGGCCACAUUGGGACUGAGACACGGCCCAAACUCCUACGGGAGGCAGCAGUGGGGAAUAUUGCACAAUGGGGGAAACCCCGAUGCAGCGACGCCGCGUGAGUGAUGAAGUAUUUCGGUAUGUAAAGCUCUAUCAGCAGGGAAGAAAAUGACGGUACCUGACUAAGAAGCCCCGGCUAACUACGUGCCAGCAGCCGCGGUAAUACGUAGGGGGCAAGCGUUAUCCGGAUUUACUGGGUGUAAAGGGAGCGUAGACGGAACAGCAAGUCUGAUGUGAAAACCCGGGGCUCAACCCCGGGACUGCAUUGGAAACUGUUGAUCUAGAGUGUCGGAGAGGUAAGUGGAAUUCCUAGUGUAGCGGUGAAAUGCGUAGAUAUUAGGAGGAACACCAGUGGCGAAGGCGGCUUACUGGACGAUGACUGACGUUGAGGCUCGAAAGCGUGGGGAGCAAACAGGAUUAGAUACCCUGGUAGUCCACG